rnacentral:rRNA from 1 species
UACAGAGGUCCCAAGCGUUGUUCGGAUUCAUUGGGCGUAAAGGGUGCGUAGGCGGCGCGGUAAGUCGGGUGUGAAAUCUCGGGGCUCAACCCCGAAACUGCAUUCAAUACUGCCCUGCUCGAGUACUGGAGAGGAGAUCGGAAUUUACGGUGUAGCAGUGAAAUGCGUAGAUAUCGUAAGGAAGACCAGUGGCGAAGGCGGAUCUCUGGACAGUUACUGACACUGAGGCACGAAGGCCAGGGGAGCAAACGGG